GGCCUGCCUCUUGCAAGUGGCCAUGAGGGCCGGGUCCUGUGCAACGAAAAUUCAUAAACCCCGUCAGGUCCGGAAGGAAGCAGCGGUAAGUGAAUAACUUCGUGUGCCCCAGGGGUGCCUGGUCUGAGCUAACUGCUUGAGUAACGCCCGGAAGUGUAAGUCAAAAGUGGGUGCACGG
rnacentral:SRP_RNA from 1 species